GUAGGUUUCCCAGAGACUAUGGGUUGAGGAGGAAUUGGAAGUUUGUCGGCUUAGACCUGGUGUCAUUCCAUCAGUGUUAAACUUCCCGGCUCAUCUUGGAAGAGUACGUGCCAGAAAGACCACGACCAAGCAGCCUUGAGAUCUUAGGCAGCGUCUCCCUGAGGUCCCGCUCUAUCUCCCCACACAUCCACCAACCACUGGAACACAUCUCCAAAGUUCUGCCUGGACCAGCUCAGCUUCCCCUCAGAAGAAGUGCUGCCACCUGCCAGAUGAAGGAGCCUUUUGAGAGGCAGCUGGCAUCAUGAUUGGACUGUACUUUGGUCUGUUCCAAUCCAGCUUCAGCUCCAGAGACGGCAGGCGGGACGAGUCAACGGAGGCCUGGUGGACGAAGGCAUGAAGCUGAGUACAAUCCAGAAAACAACAGAGGAGGAGUGCAGCAGCCCAAAGCCAGAACAACCAGAGUAGCAUCGUAUGUCUCUUAGAAAACAUCAUAGUAUAGCCUUUGGUAUGAAAAAACACCAUCAUAUACAUCGUAUAUUGUACAAAUAACAAGUCAAAGGAAAGAGAC
ensembl:lncRNA